CCUACGGGACGCAGCAGUGGGGAAUAUUGGACAAUGGGGGGAACCCUGAUCCAGCGACGCCGCGUGAGUGAAGAAGUAUUUCGGUAUGUAAAGCUCUAUCAGCAGGGAAGAAGAUGACGGUACCUGAGUAAGAAGCCCCGGCUAACUACGUGCCAGCAGCCGCGGUAAUACGUAGGGGGCAAGCGUUAUCCGGAUUUACUGGGUGUAAAGGGAGCGUAGACGGCUGCGCAAGUCUGAAGUGAAAGCCCGGGGCUCAACCCCGGUACUGCAUUUGAAACUGUCCAGCUGGAGUGCAGGAGAGGUAA
rnacentral:rRNA from 1 species